rnacentral:misc_RNA from 1 species
UGGCUCUCGCAUCGAUGAAGAACGCAGCGAAAUGCGAUAAGUAAUGUGAAUUGCAGAAUUCAGUGAAUCAUCGAAUCUUUGAACGCACCUUGCGCUCCUUGGUAUUCCGAGGAGCAUGCCUGUUUGAGUGUCAUGAAAUUCUCAACCAUUUCAGCUUUAUCUAGCUGAUUUAGGCUUGGAUGUGGGAGUUUGCGGGCUUCUCUGAAGUCGGCUCUCCUUAAAUAUAUUAGUAGGGACCUCUGUUGCCUCAGCUCUUGGUGUGAUAGUUAUCUACGCCAUUCUGCGAAGCAGCUUUAAAAUGGGGUUACUGCUUUCUAACCGUCUCUACCGAGACAACUUCUGACAAUUUGACCUCAAAUCAGGUAGGACUACCCGCUGA